AUACGUAGGUGGCAAGCGUUAUCCGGAAUUAUUGGGCGUAAAGGGUGCGUAGGCGGUUGAUUAAGUUUUAGGUGAAAGCGUGGGGCUCAACUCCAUACAGCCUAAGAAACUGGUCAACUAGAGUGCAGAAGAGGGUAGUGGAAUUCCAUGUGUAGCGGUAAAAUGCGUAGAUAUAUGGAGGAACACCAGUGGCGAAGGCGGCUACCUGGUCUGUAACUGACGCUGAGUCACGAAAGCGUGGGUAGC
rnacentral:rRNA from 1 species